GAUGAACGCUGGCGGCGUGCCUAAUACAUGCAAGUCGAGCGAACAGACGAGGAGCUUGCUCCUCUGACGUUAGCGGCGGACGGGUGAGUAGCACGUGGAUAACCUACCUAUAAGACUGGGAUAACUUCGGGAAACCGGAGCUAAUACCGGAUAAUAUAUUGAACCGCAUGGUUCAAUAGUGAAAGACGGUUUUGCUGUCACUUAUAGAUGGAUCCGCGCCGCAUUAGCUAGUUGGUAAGGUAACGGCUUACCAAGGCGACGAUGCGUAGCCGACCUGAGAGGGUGAUCGGCCACACUGGAACUGAGACACGGUCCAGACUCCUACGGGAGGCAGCAGUAGGGAAUCUUCCGCAAUGGGCGAAAACCUGACGGAGCAACGCCGCGUGAGUGAUGAAGGUCUUCGGAUCGUAAAACUCUGUUAUUAGGGAAGAACAAAUGUGUAAGUAACUAUGCACGUCUUGACGGUACCUAAUCAGAAAGCCACGGCUAACUACGUG
rnacentral:rRNA from 1 species